UUCUAUAAGAGACUGGAAGCAAGCAUGUGUUUCAAAACAGAGCUCUGUUAGCUCCACUAUGAUGAGUUUCCCCUUUUUUUUUUUCCUCUCUCUUUGUUAAAAUAUUGUUGAAUUUGUUGUAUUUUAAACCCUAUAGUGAUAUCAGGACCAUAUUACAACAAUGCUUUUUAACUGGGUUUGAAAUGCCUUGUUAUUUUCUACAGUCAUAAAAUGAUCUAAUCAGAUGUCAUUGGUGUCUUCAGCCAUAUGUGUAUUGUAUACUUGGGUUUGUAAUCAGAUGCAUUAGCCAACAGUACAAAAAUCUCAUGCAACUUAAGUAUUUGAGUAGAAUACUAAAACCAAAACAAAACAAACCCAGAAUAAUAUAAACAUUUAUUUAUAGUGUUUCAUCUGACUCUAUGGUAAACCAUAAUAUUAUACUUACUUGAACCUAAUCAACUAAACUGCAUGUUAAAAGCCCGGGGUCAGGUUAUUAAGGAAAGAUUUUGUAGAACAAAUUCCACAUAGUCACUGUAAAUUACAUCUGCAUGAAAAUCAGUGUCAGCUGUUGUAUAAUAUCAGAUCUUUAAAGUAUGCCUGCAGUCCUUUAGAGAUGCAUUUGGGCAAGAGCCACUCCUGUUGCUGAAAUCAAUGAAUCAUAGAGUUGGUUGGAAGGAGCACUUCGAGGAGCACUACCUCAAAUCUAGCACCAGCAACACAUGAAGUUAGCUUUGUGUAAUUAAACCUUGAAAAUCAAUAGAGAUUCUCUAAUCUCUUCUGAUAUCCUCUUCUGAUACUGCACAUUUUAUUAUAGGAAUGAAAUUUUUUAUCCUAAUCCUUGACUUGGACCUCCUAUGCCUCUUAAAUCCCUCUUGCAGACAGGGCUCAGAAGCAAAACCUGAAGCAGAAACCAAGUCUUGUGAUUUUCAGGGUACUGGGACUAAGCUGGUAUUGCAUGGCAGGUCAUGCAGGCCCAUAACAAUCACUUACUAGAUGAUUUCUAAUCAGUAAUUUCAUGAUAAAAGCUUGAGAGUCAUAUGAAGAGAGUAAGGUAUCUACUUUGCUGAUACCAAAACACUCCAUGAUGCACUGAUGGCUCACAAGGUUUGUAAAUCAAAAAAAUGUGAAUGUUUCUCCACAAUACUGUUUUUUGAAGGAGAGGCCAAAUCUUUUGUUAGGUUGAGGUUUUAAUCCCAUUCAGUCUUUGGGUGUUUGAGGAUAACUCUUUGAUAAAAUAUGGGAAGAAUGGUGAUAAUAAUGGUGAUAUGGGAAGAAUUAUGGUGAUAAUUCAUUUCUCCGUGUGAAAGUGUAUUGAUUAACACCUGUGAAUAUUUUCUUUUGAUUAUUUGGAAGCAUUAUAUUUCAUUCAGCUUGUUUCUGCAGUGUUCCUUUCCUUAGUCUCAAAACUUGCUCAUUUAAACCUGCUUUUAAAGAAAGCUGUUGUAACGGAUGGUUUGUCUUGGCUCACUCUCGUUUGCAAAUGGUAUUCAGUUCUUAUAUUAAUUUCUCAUGCUUGUCUUAUUUAGCUGUCUGUAGUUGGGUAUGGGAACACUGCUUUACAAAACCCCACAAAGCAGCAGAAAUAAUGAUUCAUUAACAGAAACUGACAAUUGUGUAUAUUUUAGAAAAAAUGACAGUGUGGAUCUCGUGCUUGAAGGGACAAGUUCAUGCAUGGUCCCUGUCCACUGACAGCAGAACAUCUGAGGGAAAAAGCAAGCAUUGUUGUUCAGUAAAAGGGGUGCUGCAGAAAGGAAGGGAGGGAUGGCCCUGCAGAUCUCACUGAGAAUGGGGAGCUUGACACAGGGUAGCAGGGAGGAAAGAAAGGGGAGGAGCACAAUGUUGAAAUCAUAUAGCAGUUUGUCUAAUUAAAACCAGAUGUGCAUAGUGAUCAAGAUAUUCUUAACUUUUGUCUUCCUUUUCCUUUUUUUUUUUUUGUUUCCAUAGUGUAAGCCAAGAGAAAUGGAGUAUCUUCAGAGUCUGACAUCCAAACUGCAUGUAUAAUAUAAUCAGUGGAUGAUGGGAUUCAUAUCUAAAAGGUCACUUUCAUUUUAUUUGAAUAUGCCAUGGUUUUGCUGCAGCAGCACAGACCCUUCUACCCUAAAGUAUUAUUUAACCUCUUAUCUUUCCAGGGCUUUAAUCUGCACAGUCUCACUCUUUUGAAAUGGGUCCAUGUCUGGAACCUGUUUCUGCUUUUAGGAAACUCUUCCAUGCAUUAACCUUUGCAUUAUGAGCACAGACCUCCUAGUUAAUAAAUGGAGCCAUGUGCUGUGGCA
rnacentral:lncRNA from 1 species